rnacentral:rRNA from 1 species
AGCUGAUGAGCCAUGCCGCGUGUGUGUGACGGUCUUCGGAUUGUAAAGCACUUUUUUUGGGAGGAAGGGCAGUUAACUAAUACGUUGUUGUUUUGACGGUACCGACAGAAUAAGCACCGGCUAACUCUGUGCCAGCAGCCGCGGUAAUA